rnacentral:rRNA from 1 species
UACGGAGGGGGCUAGCGUUGUUCGGAAUUACUGGGCGUAAAGCGCACGUAGGCGGCUUUGUAAGUUAGAGGUGAAAGCCCGGAGCUCAACUCCGGAAUUGCCUUUAAGACUGCAUCGCUAGAAUUGUGGAGAGGUAAGUGGAAUUCCGAGUGUAGAGGUGAAAUUCGUAGAUAUUCGGAAGAACACCAGUGGCGAAGGCGACUUACUGGACAAAUAUUGACGCUGAGGUGCGAAAGCGUGGGGAGCAAACAGG